rnacentral:siRNA from 1 species
UUCAGCCACACUUUGCGGCGC